rnacentral:rRNA from 1 species
AUUGAACGCUGGCGGCAUGCUUUACACAUGCAAGUCGAACGGUAACAGGGUGCUUGCACCGCUGACGAGUGGCGAACGGGUGAGUAAUGCGUCGGAACGCACCGAGUAAUGGGGGAUAACGCAGCGAAAGCUGUGCUAAUACCGCAUACGCUCUGAGGAGGAAAGCGGGGGACCAUCGGGCCUCGCGUUAUUCGAGCGGCCGACGUCUGAUUAGCUAGUAGGUGAGGUAAGAGCUCACCUAGGCGACGAUCAGUAGCGGGUCUGAGAGGAUGAUCCGCCACACUGGGACUGAGACACGGCCCAGACUCCUACGGGAGGAAGCAGUGGGGAAUUUUGGACAAUGGGCGCAAGCCUGAUCCAGCCAUGCCGCGUGUCUGAAGAAGGCCUUCGGGUUGUAAAGGACUUUUGUCAGGGAGGAAAUCCUUAGCGCUAAUACCGUUGAGGGAUGACAGUACCUGAAGAAUAAGCACCGGCUAACUACGUGCCAGCAGCCGCAGUAA